rnacentral:rRNA from 1 species
CCCGUGAACUUAUACUAACCUGGGGAUAGAUGAAGGCGCACUCGCGUCCCAACCGUCCCCUAAGCCUUGGCGUUCCCCUAGUCGCACUGAACUCGUUCAGGAGUCUCUCUAGGGUGCUCCUAAGGCCAAAUAACGAACCCCGACGCGGAAUGCGUCAAGGAAAUUUAUACGAACUAAGCACAUCAUAUGCCGACUCGUGCGGCAGCGGUGAUGCAAACUUCGAUACCUAAACGACUCUCGGCAACGGAUAUCUCGGCUCUCGCAUCGAUGAAGAACGUAGCGAAAUGCGAUACUUGGUGUGAAUUGCAGAAUCCCGUGAACCAUCGAGUUUUUGAACGCAAGUUGCGCCCGAAGCCAUUCGGCCGAGGGCACGUCUGCCUGGGCGUCACGUAUCGCGUUGCUCCCAAAAGCCUUCCCACAAGGGUUCGUUGCUACGGAAGCAGAUAUUGGCCUCCCGUGCCCCCGCAUGGCUGGCCUAAAUGCAAGCCUCGGGGUGACGAAAGGGUCACGACAAGCGGUGGUUGAUAAUACCUCGGCCCUUGUUGCGUCGUCCCUGUACGUACCUCUUUGAGCUAAGCAUCCCUUUCGCGCUGUGUUUACUGCGUUUGCUUCGCGACC